rnacentral:snoRNA from 1 species
AUCUGAUCUGAACGGGAAAGAUGGUGUAAGAAUUGGAGGCAAAGAAAUGUGGAUUUGGGAGAAAUCUUGGGCCAACUUCAUCCCCACAGGCUCAAGAUCAACCAUAGAAAAAGA